ensembl:lncRNA novel transcript
GCCCCACAUCGUGCUCUUGCAGUGUUCUCCCCGCAGGUGCUGCAUGGAGUGAGUGGCGGCAUCCACCGUGAGGAGGAGAGGAGCUCUGAUACCCUCAGGACCCGCCAGGAGGGGCAUCACGGAGGCUUCUGGACGACUUGGAGCUGUGUCCUGGGGAGAAAACCGCUCCUGUCUGGGCCCUGAGUGCUGAGGAGGAAGCUGCCAUGCACUUUUCCCUGGCAUUUUUCCUGCAUGGAGAGAGAGGUCCAAGGUGCCCUACAUCGUGCGUCAGUGCGUGGAGGAGAUCGAGCGCCGAGGCAUGGAGGAGGUGGGCAUCUACCGCAUGUCUGGGGUGGCCGCAGACAUCCAGGCACUGAAGGCAGGCUUCAACGUCAAUAACAAGGACGUGUCAGUGAUGAUGAGCGAGAUGGACGUGAACGCCAUCGCAGGCAUGCUGAAGCUGUACUUCCGUGAGCUGCCCGAGCCCCUCUUCACUGACGAGUUCUACCCCAACUUCGCAGAGGGCAUCGCUCUUUCAGACCCAGUUGCAAAGAAGAGCUGCAUGCUCAACCUGCUGUCGUCCCUGCCGGAGGCCAACCUGCUCACCUUCCUUUUCCUUCUAGACCACCUGGAAAGGAUGGCAGAGAAGGAGGCAGUCAAUAAGAUGUCCCUGCACAACCUUGGCACGGUGUUUGGCCCCACGCUGCUCCGGCCCUCCGAGAAGGAGAGCAAGCUCCCUGCCAACCCCAGCCAGCCCAUCACCAUGACUGACAGCUGGUCCUUGGAGGUCAUGUCCCAGAUCCAGAUACCUAAUAAGAUGCUGGAAUGUAAUCCCUGGACAAUCCGUGUCCUGGCAGCAUUUGGUCUUCCUCUAAGCGCCUGGCUCCGCUGUUCUCAGGAGUGGGUUCUGAAGUCUCUGGAGAACAGGAUACGUGGAGGGUUAGGAAGGGGCCAGGCCUAGAGACGGGAGACUCCCUCCCGGAGCAGGUGGAGGCACAGGACCAUUCGCUACCCCAUCUGCCGGCACCUGCGGGGGAGCCCAGGCAUUGUUUGUAAACCCUCCUGACUACCUGACUCAAAGAAAACAGAAGCAUGGAGGCCGCCAAGUAUUUUCAAGAAAUAAUCCCAUGAACGUGGCAUCACUUUUUUAGAAAGAGGGGCUUGGGGCAGGCAGAGGAGAGAAGGGAGAGCAAACUGAGAGCCAAGUUUCCAGACGGUCCUGCAGGAGGAGAGGAUGCAGCUGCGCAGAGGGAAGCAGGAUCACAUUUAAGGAAGUGUGUGGGGUCCCUGGAUGACACCAGCACCCAGUACGGCUCUGUCUGGCAACCGCUCCCAAGGUGGCAGGAGUGGGUGUCCCCUGUGUGUCAGUGGGCAGCUCCUGCUGAGCCCGCAGCUCACUGGGGAGCCUGACAGCGGGGCCAUGUGCCUGACACUCCUCUCUGCUUGUGGACCUGGCAAGGCAGGGAGCAGAAAACAGAGCCACUUGAAGGCUUUCUGUCUGCGUCUGUGUGCAGUGUGGAUUUAGUUGUGCUUUUUUCUUGCUGGGAGAGCACAGCCACCAUUUACAAGCAGUGUCACCCUCGUGGGUGGCGAGGACAGAACAGGAGCCUCUGCUCUCUGUACCUAUCUGGGCCCGGUGGGCUCCCUUGUCCUGGCUUCCAUCUCUGUCUCAGCAACCAUUCAGCCCUGCGCAGGAACACGUGUUGCUUAGAAAAGCCAAAUCCAGCCUUGUCUCUGCCUCCUCUGGUCUCAUGAUGUGCAUCUGUUACCUUGAAACUGGAAACCAGUCUAUCAAUGUCUGUGCCAAUUUUUUAUUCCCUCCCCAACCUCCUUCCCCAUACGACUUUUUAUUUAUGUAGGAUGUGUGCUGUCUAAUGAUGGGAUGACCACACUUUUCCAUGUUCUAAAAGUGCUCCUCUCCCGCAGGGUCCCAGGGCUGGUGGUUGCUUUGGGUCUACAGCUACGUCUUACCCGCCUCCUGCCUCAACAGCCUGUGUGGUGGCAAAGCCGGUGUGGGGCUGGGGAACGCAGCGUUCUCCAGGAGGGGGACCCGGCUCUCCUUCUGCAAUGCAGGCGAAGGCCUAGAUGCCAGUGUGACCUCCCACAAGGCGUGGCUUCCAGACUCCCCGGCCGGAAGUGAUGCUUUUUUGCCGUGGGCCCUGGGUUUGAAGCAGCCUGGCUUUCUCUUGGUAAGUGGCUGGUGUCUUAGCAGCUGCAAUCUGAGCUCAGCCACCUACACACCACCGUGGCCGACACUUUCAUUAAGAAGUUUCCUGAGACGA